GAUGAAGAACGUAGUGAAAUGCGAUACGUAAUGUGAAUUGCAGAAUUCAGUGAAUCAUCGAAUCUUUGAACGCACAUUGCGCCCGCUAGUAUUCUGGCGGGCAUGCCUGUCCGAGCGUCAUUUCAACCCUCAAGCCCCCGGGCUUGGUGUUGGGGAUCGGCGAGCCUCCGCGCCCGCCGUCCCCUAAAUCUAGUGGCGGUCUCGCUGUAGCUUCCUCUGCGUAGUAGCACACCUCGCACUGGGAAACAGCGCGGCCACGCCGUUAAACCCCCAACUUCUGAACGUUUGACCUCGGAUCAGGUAGGAAUACCCGCUGAACUUAAGCAUAUCAAUAAGCGGAGGA
rnacentral:misc_RNA from 1 species